UACGAAGGGGGCUAGCGUUGCUCGGAAUCACUGGGCGUAAAGGGUGCGUAGGCGGGUCUUUAAGUCAGGGGUGAAAUCCUGGAGCUCAACUCCAGAACUGCCUUUGAUACUGAAGAUCUUGAGUUCGGGGAGAGGUGAGUGGAACUGCGAGUGUAGAGGUGAAAUUCGUAGAUAUUCGCAAGAACACCAGUGGCGAAGGCGGCUCACUAGCCCGAUACUGACGCUGAGGCACGAAAGCGUGGGGAGCAAACAGG
rnacentral:rRNA from 1 species